AGCUUCCAAACACCGGAGGUGAAUUCCGACAUGCUCCGUGCCUGAGUUCCAACGCCUCUCAACUCCUGACAGUCCAGAGUGACUUGGAAGAAGUGCCUGGAAAAAAAAGAAAAACACCAAAAUACCCACUGGUUCUUGCUGUCCGCCUCCAUUUUGUUGCAUCUCAUGGACUAUCAGCACAGUGUUGUAGCUGGUCACACAGAUGCCUAUCAGGAUUCUGCUUCCUGCCUGCCUUGCAGUUGGCAGCCGGAUGUAGCCAUGUGACUGUGUCCCUGCUACGGGGAUGUGAGAAGUGAUAUGUGCUGCUUUGGGACCAGGGCCUCUUCCAUGAAACCUCUUCCUCCUUGUUAUGACACUCAGCCUUGACCAUCAGCCUCCCAGAAGAUGACAAGCCCCCGGGGAAUGGAGGAGCUACAAAUGGAAGGAACCUGGGUCCGUGUAUAUCUGAAUGGAACAGAGCCACCUGCAGAGAUGGAACACCGACCUCAUACCAUUAAAUGAGAGAAAAUCAUUUCUUUAAGUAUCAAUAUUGUGGAUCUCUUAGCAGCUUGGCCUUUUACUAUAACUAUAAUAAUACAUGCAUAUGUAUAGUUGAAAAGAUGAGAAGCAGAAAAAAAAGUCACCUGGAUCCUACUACACCUAAAUAAUGAUUACUGUUUGGGGUAGCUCCUUCCAGACUGUUCUCUAUGCCUACAAAAAAAAAAAAAAACUACAUAUACAUAUCUUCUACAGAAAUAAAACCACACUGGUUUACAGCCUCUCUCACUUAAUAUCAUCUUCUAUUUAAUAUGGACAUUUUUCUAAAUAAAAAACAUACCUAUAUCAUUUUAAUGGCUAUUCUAUAAUAGCCUAUUGCUAGAUUUAUCAGAAUUUAUUUAACCAGUUUUUCAUUGCUGGACAUUUGGGGGUUUUUUUUCUUUUAAAAAUUCUAUUAUAAACAACACUGCAGAGGACAUGCUUGAAUGUAAACCUUUACCGGUCAGAUUCUUUUUUUCUCUAGGACUCAAUUCUUAACAUCUUUGCAUAUCCUCUUUCUGGGUACCUGCAGGCAGUCAUACUGUCUGAUAUGUAGUUGCAAGGCUACUUUCAUUAAUUACAUUUUUGGAUGAAUUCCCAUUCAGGUUUUUUCAUCCAUAGACAACCAGAAAACCAAACAAGGAUCCAGCUCCCCAGGCAGUACCCAAGAUGAAUAAAUGACUCCCCACCUAGUGGCAUCAGCUAGACUCCCUGUUACAAUGCAGCCCUGGUUGGUAAGAAAAGAAAGCACUUGUAGACCUUGUUUCCUGUUGACAAACCUUGAUCUACAUCUGUGUUGCCAAUUACUUGUUCAAUAAACCUG